AUGACGUUACUUGGUGACAACGAUAUAGGGCGUGUGUAGCAGCUAGUGGUUGUGAUAUGAAGGUUUUUCUUGGAAAGAUUUUUUGGCUGGUCACAGACAGCUGAUGUGUUGUGCAUUGAAGUCCACAAGCGAUGGGAAAAGGACCUGAGCCCUAGGACCAUGCCUCAGGACUACCUGACAUGAUGACUCCUUGCUGUCCCCAGUCCACCUGGCCGUGCUGCUGCUCCAUUUUCAACUGUUCUGCCUGCGGCUAUGGAACCCUGACCUGUUCACCGGACGUGCUACCUGUCCCAGACCUGCUGUUUUCAACUCUCUAGAGACAGCAGGAGCGGUAGAGAUACUCUCAAUGAUCGGCUAUGAAAAGCCAACUGACAUUUACUCUUGAGGUGUUGACUUGUUACACCCUCGACAACUGUGAAUAUUAUUAUUUGACCAUGCUGGUCAUUUAUGAACAUUUGAACAUCUUGGCCAUGUGCUGUUAUAAUCUCCACCCAGCACAGCCAGAAGAGGACUGGCCACCCCUCAUAGCCUCGUUCCUCUCUAGGUUUCUUCCUAGGUUUUGGCCUUUCUAGGGAGUUUUUCCUAGCCACCGUGCUUCUACACCUCCAUUGCUUGCUGUUUGGGGUUUUAGGCUGGGUUUCUGUACAGUACUUUGAGAUAUCAGCUGAUGUAAGAAGGGCUAUAUAAAUACAUUGAUUUGAUAACAAUCUAAUAUAUUGAAGAGAAAUUAGAAAAAUUGCAAUAAAACGGUGGUCCUUCUCCCUAAAUUUCAGCACUGCAUUUGAAAGAGCAGCCCCUUCUCUGCCUUACUCAAUCACCCACACAACUGACAAACACAACUGCAUCUCUCUCUUUCUCCAUAUCCCUCCUACCCUCCCUCACAUCACCUCCUCAUUGCGCUCUGCUUCUAUAAUUCAAAUUCUGUCAGCCUUGUUCCAGACUGCUGGCGCCAGCCUCUCUCUCCAAGACAAAAAAAAGAAGCGAGCAAGAGCGAGGGAGGGAGGGAGGGGGGAAAGGCAGAAGAAAAGAAAGCUGUGUGAGAGACAAAGCCGACGGAGCCACACACACAGCAAGAUGGAGCCGAGAAAGAAGUAGACAGGGAGUUUUGAUAAAGCCAGCUACGAGAUCUGAUUUUUCAGGGCCCAAUAUGCCUAUUUUCCGUUUUCUGCCUCCCAUUUCUCUCUUUUUCCACUCAUUUCCAUUCCUUUUGUUUUACUAAUUGUCUCUCCCUUUGACCUGCCCCCUCUGCUGCCUUCACUGGUUAAAAGCAAUAAAAUAUUAUCCCCC
rnacentral:lncRNA from 1 species